UAGUAUUAAAUUUGGCUUUGUAGAAUGGAGAGAGGGCUUCAGGGAAUCCUGUAUUAAGUAUUUGGACUCGCUGAGGUCCUUUCUCCAUUCUGCAAAAACAGGUGACUA
rnacentral:pre_miRNA from 1 species